rnacentral:rRNA from 1 species
GCUAGCGGCAUGCCUAAGAUAUGCAAGUCGAACGGUUUGGUUUUCGCAAGAAAAUCAAAUAGUGGCAGACGGCUGAGUAACGCGUAAGUACUUACCUCUGUCUCGGGCAUAACUUUGCGAAAGUAAAGGUAAUUCCCGAUGGUCCCUUUAGGGUAAAGAUUUUUCGGACAGAGAUAGGCUUGCGUCCUAUCAGGUAGUUGGUGGGGUAAUGGCCUACCAAGCCGACAACGGGUAGCUGGCCUGAGAGGGUGGUCAGCCAGACUGGGACUGAGACACGGCCCAGACUCCUACGGGAGGCAGCAACUAGGAAUUAUGCGCAAUGGAGGAAACUCUGACGCUGCGAUGCCGCGUGGAGGAAGAAGGUCUUCGGAUUGUAAACUCCUUUUGUCGGGGAGCAAUACUGAGAGUACUCGACGAAUAAGUGCCUGCUAACCACGUGCCAGAAGCAUCGGUAAUACGUGGGGCACAAGCGUUAUCCGGUUUUACUGGGCGUAAAGAGAUGCGUAGGCGUUUCUUUAAGUUACUUGUUAAAUCUUAGUGCUUAACACUAAGACGGCAAGUAAUACUAAAGAAAUAGAGUCAGGUAGAGAAAAGAGGAAUUCCUGGUGUAGCGGUUAAAUGCGUUGAUAUCAGGAGGAACACCGAUGGUGAAGACAUCUUUUUGGACCUGUACUGACGCUCAGGCUCGAAAGCGUGGGGAGCAAAACGGAUUAGAUACCCGUGUAGUCCACGCCCUAAACAAUCCUCGCUAGAUAUUUGUUUUCUUUUUGAUUCUCCCUUGGGAGGGUUGUAAAAGAAAAUGAGUGUCGCAGCUAACGCGUUAAGCGAGGCGCCUGUGGAGUACGGCCGCAAGGCUAAAACACAAAGGAAUUGACGGGGACCCGCACAAGCAGUGGAGCGCCUGGUUUAAUUCGAUAAUCCACGAAGAACCUUACCUAGGCUUGAACUGUAGCUGCUUUCUUGAUGAAAGUCAAGAGUCCUUCGAGGGUGCUACAGAGAUGCUGCAUGGCUGUCGUCAGCUCGUGUCGUGAGAUGUAGGGUUAAGUCCCGUAACGAGCGCAACCCCUAUCCGAUGUUAAAAUUUCUUCGGAGACUGCCUUAUAACAAUAAGGAGGAAGGAGGGGACGACGUCCAGUCAUCAUGUCCCUUAUGUCUAGGGCUACACAGACGCUACAAUGGCUGUUACAAUGGGUUGCCAAGCCGCGAGGCGGAGCUAAUCCCAAAAAAGCAGCCCCAGUUUGGAUUGUAGGCUGCAACUCGCCUGCAUGAAGUCGGAAUUGCUAGUAAUCGUGAAUCAGCGUGUCACGGUGAAUACGUUCUCGGGUCUUGUACACACCGCCCGUCAAGGCAUGGGAGUUGCUCUUGCUCGAAGCCUCUGUAAGUGGGCAGAGUCGAAAGUAAGGGUAGCGACUGGG